rnacentral:rRNA from 1 species
CCUACGGGAGGCAGCAGUAGGGAAUCUUUCACAAUGGGCGAAAGCCUGAUGGAGCAACGCCGCGUGCAGGAUGAAGGCCUUCGGGUUGUAAACUGCUUUUAUAAGCGAGAAAUAUGAUGGUAACUUAUGACUAAGGAUCGGCUAACUACGUGCCAGCAGCCGCGGUCAUACGUAGGAUCCGAGCAUUAUCCGGAGUAACUGGGUGUAAGGAGUUGCGUAGGUGGCAUAAUAAGUAGCUAGGGAAAUCUGGUGGCUCAACCAUUCAGACUAUUAGCUAAACUGUUAAGCUCGAGACCGUUAGAAGCAUCUGGAAUUUCUAGUGUAGGAGUGAAAUCCGUAGAUAUUAGAAGGAACACCAAUAGCGUAGGCAGGAUGCUGGGACGGUUCUGACACUGAGGCACGAAAGCGUAGGGAGCGAACGGGAUUAGAUACCCGUGUAGUC